rnacentral:lncRNA from 1 species
AAUGGUAUUGUACAAUCAUUUUUAAACAAUUUUCGUGACAAUAUUUUCUCUCUUUUUGUCGGACAAAAACAAUAGAGAAAGAAUGAAAACGACACUAAAAUUACAAUAAAAGUAUGAGAUAGAAAAUUAUCACAAAAAUUGUUAAAAAAUGAUUGUAGGUUUCAACAUUCAUGGCCUCCCACGUAGUGGUUUCAUAAAUUUUCGUCCACUGAAUUUAUUUUACCAUACAAAAUGGUGAAAGCUGAGCUUGAUGAAUGAGAAACAAAAAUAAGAUAAGUUUCCCAAUACAUGGAAGGAACCAGAGCUUGA